rnacentral:lncRNA from 1 species
CUCUUUCAUUUGUUGACACUGCUCUUUCUAAGUUAAUUAUGGAAGAAACUCGGAAGAAGAUCAUCUCCUCUAGUCCUGAUGGUUCUCUCAUUUUGGCUGCACGAGCCAAAUCGAAGGGUCUAUCUCAAAUCUAGUGCCAUUCAUGCAAGAAGCUUAGCCAUAUUGCCUGUAAUUGUCCUAAUCGAGAAUCUGAUUCUCGACCUUUACCUCGUUCUCGAUUUCAAGACGUAUUUUCUACACAGCGUACCUACUGUAAGAAGGUUGGACAUGUUGUUUGGAAUUGUCCCC